GAUCCCUCCCACCGAGCCCCUGCCCCCCUCCCACUCCCCCAGCCUGAGCUGGUGGGACAGCUGGGAUCUAUCCAGGAGCGGGGCUUGCUAUGGUGGACAUCCAGGAACUCCCUCCACCGUGCCUCAGCAGCCUGCAGCCAGGCUUCUUGGCAUCCCUUAGGCCCUGGAAGAGCAGCAGCUGCGUGCUGGUCUGGCCCCGGGUGGGGAUGGCAGGGCUGGGGAGCACACACGGGUGUCACCGGGCAUAAGUGGGGUGCCCAUGAGACUAAACUCAUGCCUACGGCAAUGCUUGGGGCUGUUGGUGCUUCGUCAUGCCGGUACUGCCUGGUGUUGCCUCUUGCAGCACGGCCAUGGGGUGUGUGUGUGUGUGUGUGUGUGCCCCGUGCUCUGCUCGAGUGGCCGCACUCCAGAGAGUGGCUGUAGGAGCGUGCAUCUCGACCAGAGCCUCUGGGUGCUGCUGGGGGUGCCGUGUGUUUCUGACCAUCUAUCACUUACUUGGAGGGGCUGUGCUAAGCAGGCAGCUCUUCUCGCACGCCCCAACUUUGGAGGAGGUUGUUCUGUGGUUUCCGUUCCUCCAGCUUGCUCACCGAGGCGUGAACUCGCACGGGGUCCCCUGUUUUUGCAAACAGCAGUCUGGCAGAACAUGGAGGAAAAUGCAGCUCUUUCCUACGGCAGAGACAAAUCUCAGCUUGCUGCUGCCGCGGAGGGAGGACAUUGCCUAUCUUUGUUCUUGGCUAUCCUGUUUCUACCCACGAGACCGCGGGGCCUUAACCGCUCAUCUCCGAAAGCCAAGAGCGGAGCCUGGGCUUCCUCUCCCGCGACACCUUGCUGCCAUCCAGCAAACAAUCGCCUGGGCGUGCCGCAUCCUCUCCCAGCGCCGGCCCCGCGAAGCCUCCCGGCCGCGGGGUUGCCGCGGGACAGGGCUGCAGAGCCGAGCCGUGCCGAGCCAGGGCUGGGGCCGGAGCCUGCUCGUAGCCCGGGGCUGUAGCUGCGAAUUUCUCCGGUGGUUUCCCAACGGUGCACGCUUCACUCGCACGGUGCAAAAAAUAGUAAUAAUAAUAAAAAAUAUAUAUAUCAGCGCGGGUGUUAGCAGCGCCCGUGGCCGUGAGCUGUGCGGUGGCGUGCGGCAAAGCCCAGGACACGCGUGGGGCAGAGGGCAGGACGCGGUGGGCACCGCUGGGCAAGGGGAGGCACACGGAGCCCCCGGGCUGCGGCCGGGGAGGCUGCACACCGCUCCCGGAGCACCGGCGGCGCGGCCGGAGGGACGUGCGGGACGCUGCGGGGCAGCUCCCCGCACCGCCGGGCCGAGCCCACGGGGCUCCGCAGCCGCCCAGCCGCUGGG
rnacentral:lncRNA from 1 species